CAGACGUGUUGACGUUUCUGGAGCGGCGAGCUGGGCGGGCCUUAGGGUCUGCGGUGCUCGGUGGCCAGCCGGGGAUCUCGGCGCCCCCUGGCGGGUUUCUCCUGCGCUGCUUGAGCAGGCGAGGGCGUUCUUGGCGAUGGCGCCUUUCGAGCAGCGGAGCAUGUCGGGAAAAUAUUACUGAAGUGUUGGAAUGAAGAGAAUUGCAACUUUGAGGGGAAGGGUGAUGAUGAAGGACAAAGAGCAACAAGACAACUGCUGUCCCAGUGAAAGGACACACCCCAUGGACAAGGAUGCAGUGCCCAUGAAUCCAGCUGCUCCUCAUCACAAUGGGAGACUUAUAGCAGUGAAAAUAGAACAACUUCCUCAUCCUGUACCAUUAACCAUCACAGUGAAGAACAUUUGUUUUAAAGGCAGGAUGUCAUUAUAUAACCUGUGAUGGGUAUUUUUGGCUGUCAACUUGACUACAUCUGGAAUUAACUGAAACCCAAGCAACUGGGUACACCUGUCAAGGAUUUUUUUUAUUAAUCAUUUGAAGUAGGAAGACCUACUUCAUUUUUUUGUUGUUAUUUUUAUUUUUUAUUUUUGGUUUUGAGACAGGAUUUUUCUGUGUAACAGCUCUAGCUGUCCUGGUACUGGCCUCAAACUCACAGAGUUCCACCUGCUUCUGCCUCCUGAGUGCUGGGAUUAAAGAUGUGUGCCACCAUGCCAGGCAGGAAGACCCAUUUUUAAUUUGGAUCUUUUGAGGUGGGAAGAUGUACCCUUAAUACAGCUCUUUUGAGGUGGGAAGAUCCACCUUUGAUCAGGGCCACACCUUCUGCUUGAAGCCUAUGUAAAGGACAUGGUAGAAGGAAGCUUGCUCUUUGCCUGCUUGCUCUUGCUCUAGUUAGCAAGUCCAUUCCUUCGCUGCCAUAGAGUGUACUUCUUUGGGAUUCAGUGUAUGCUGAAGAUUAGCUGAGACAUCAAACUUCAUGGACUGAACAACUGCUGGUUUCUUGGACCUUCUGGUAGACAACUAUUGUUGGGCUAGCUGGACUACAACCUGUAAGCCAUUUUAAUAAAUCCCACAUACAUUUUU